GCAGGCUCCGUGCUGGUGCAUCGAACUGUUGGCUCCUCAUCUGCUUCAUUCUUUUCCCAAGCGAAGCUUCUUCCUUGUGGGUGCAUAUGGUAUCCUGUGUUGCUUACCCAUGGAAUGGUAUUGGAUGGCAUUGUUGUGUUGAUCUGCCAUGUGUCCUUUGGGGUGUGGGGUAGACUGGAGGCGAGCUUUGUGUUCCUGGUGUAUCGAGCGUAAUGUCGUUUGGUCAUCGUGGCCCAUAAAGUCUUAGCUUGUUCUCUUGGAUGCGGAAUAUUAUGUGUGGACGUGAGGUCUUGACCUCGAUUCGUCUAACUACUGGCCCUUGACUCGAAUGACUGCUUGUGCCUGUUUUGAUCUUCCCGACCAAGGCUCCAUAAUGGGGCUUACUGGAUGAGGGUUGCUCAUAGUGGCGCUGGCAUCAAAGAGGAAUGC
rnacentral:misc_RNA from 1 species